rfam:Medicago truncatula strain A17 unplaced genomic scaffold scaffold0103, whole genome shotgun sequence.
AUUUGCAAUGUGGCAUGCCCGUUUGGUGCUUAACUCUGAUUAAUAUUUGUUAUUUAAUUGCUUUUGGGUAACGGGGUGUUACAGCUGA